UAGGGAAUCUUCGGCAAUGGACGAAAGUCUGACCGAGCCACGCCGCGUGAGUGAAGAAGGUUUUCGGAUUGUAAAACUCUUUUGUCAGAGAAGAACAAGGACGUUAGUAACUGAAGGUCCCCUGACGGUAUCUAACCAGAAAGCCACGGCUAACUACGUGCCAGCAGCCGCGGUAAUACGUAGGUGGCAAGCGUUGUCCGGAUUUAUUGGGCGUAAAGCGAGCGCAGGCGGUUUCUUAAGUCUGAUGUGAAAGCCCCGGGCUCAACCGGGGAGGGUCAUUGGUAACUGGGGGGCUUGAGUGCAGAAGAGGAGGGUGGAAUUCCAUGUGUAGCGGUGAAAUGCGUAGAUAUAUGGAGGAACACCGGUGGCGAAGGCGGCUCUCUGGUCUGUAACUGACGCUGAGGCUCGAAAGCGUGGGGAGCAAACAGG
rnacentral:rRNA from 1 species